UACGUAGGGGGCUAGCGUUAUCCGGAAUUACUGGGCGUAAAGGGUGCGUAGGUGGUUUCUUAAGUCAGAGGUGAAAGGCUACGGCUCAACCGUAGUAAGCCUUUGAAACUGGGAAACUUGAGUGCAGGAGAGGAGAGUGGAAUUCCUAGUGUAGCGGUGAAAUGCGUAGAUAUUAGGAGGAACACCAGUUGCGAAGGCGGCUCUCUGGACUGUAACUGACACUGAGGCACGAAAGCGUGGGGAGCAAACAGGAUUAGAUACCCCCGUAGUCCCUGAGCGGGCUGG
rnacentral:rRNA from 1 species